AAAUCCAACGGACUCAAACCACUGAUCUUCUGUGUGCAUUACAGAUGUGAUAACCACUACACCAUCAGAUC